GAUGAACGCUGGCGGUAUGCUUAACACAUGCAAGUCGAACGGACUCUUCGGAGUUAAUGGCGGACGGGUGAGUAACGCGUGAGAAUCUGGCUUUGGGUUCGGGACAACCACUGGAAACGGUGGCUAAUACCGGAUGUGCCGAGAGGUAAAAGAGAAAUUGCCUGAAGAUGAGCUCGCGUCUGAUUAGCUAGUUGGUGAGGUAAAGGCUCACCAAGGCAGCGAUCAGUAGCUGGUCUGAGAGGAUGACCAGCCACACUGGGACUGAGACACGGCCCAGACUCCUACGGGAGGCAGCAGUGGGGAAUUUUCCGCAAUGGGCGAAAGCCUGACGGAGCAAUACCGCGUGAGGGAAGAAGGCUCUUGGGUUGUAAACCUCUUUUCUUAGGGAAGAACAAAAUGACGGUACCUAAGGAAUCAGCAUCGGCUAACUCCGUG
rnacentral:rRNA from 1 species